GAACGCUGGCGGCGUGCCUAAUACAUGCAAGUCGAGCGAACGGACGAGAAGCUUGCUUCUCUGAUGUUAGCGGCGGACGGGUGAGUAACACGUGGAUAACCUACCUAUAAGACUGGGAUAACUUCGGGAAACCGGAGCUAAUACCGGAUAAUAUUUUGAACCGCAUGGUUCAAAAGUGAAAGACGGUCUUGCUGUCACUUAUAGAUGGAUCCGCGCUGCAUUAGCUAGUUGGUAAGGUAACGGCUUACCAAGGCAACGAUGCAUAGCCGACCUGAGAGGGUGAUCGGCCACACUGGAACUGAGACACGGUCCAGACUCCUACGGGAGGCAGCAGUAGGGAAUCUUCCGCAAUGGGCGAAAGCCUGACGGAGCAACGCCGCGUGAGUGAUGAAGGUCUUCGGAUCGUAAAACUCUGUUAUUAGGGAAGAACAUAUGUGUAAGUAACUGUGCACAUCUUGACGGUACCUAAUCAGAAAGCCACGGCUAACUACGUGCCAGCAGCCGCGGUAAUACGUAGGUGGCAAGCGUUAUCCGGAAUUAUUGGGCGUAAAGCGCGCGUAGGCGGUUUUUUAAGUCUGAUGUGAAAGCCCACGGCUCAACCGUGGAGGGUCAUUGGAAACUGGAAAACUUGAGUGCAGAAGAGGAAAGUGGAAUUCCAUGUGUAGCGGUGAAAUGCGCAGAGAUAUGGAGGAACACCAGUGGCGAAGGCGACUUUCUGGUCUGUAACUGACGCUGAUGUGCGAAAGCGUGGGGAUCAAACAGGAUUAGAUACCCUGGUAGUCCACGCCGUAAACGAUGAGUGCUAAGUGUUAGGGGGUUUCCGCCCCUUAGUGCUGCAGCUAACGCAUUAAGCACUCCGCCUGGGGAGUACGACCGCAAGGUUGAAACUCAAAGGAAUUGACGGGGACCCGCACAAGCGGUGGAGCAUGUGGUUUAAUUCGAAGCAACGCGAAGAACCUUACCAAAUCUUGACAUCCUUUGACAACUCUAGAGAUAGAGCCUUCCCCUUCGGGGGACAAAGUGACAGGUGGUGCAUGGUUGUCGUCAGCUCGUGUCGUGAGAUGUUGGGUUAAGUCCCGCAACGAGCGCAACCCUUAAGCUUAGUUGCCAUCAUUAAGUUGGGCACUCUAAGUUGACUGCCGGUGACAAACCGGAGGAAGGUGGGGAUGACGUCAAAUCAUCAUGCCCCUUAUGAUUUGGGCUACACACGUGCUACAAUGGACAAUACAAAGGGCAGCGAAACCGCGAGGUCAAGCAAAUCCCAUAAAGUUGUUCUCAGUUCGGAUUGUAGUCUGCAACUCGACUACAUGAAGCUGGAAUCGCUAGUAAUCGUAGAUCAGCAUGCUACGGUGAAUACGUUCCCGGG
rnacentral:rRNA from 1 species